UUACGCCCAUAUCAGGUUGUAACACCAGUUCUCGUCCGAUCAUCUAAGUUAAGCAACGUUAAGCCUGGUCAGUACCAAGAUGGGUGACCGCUGGAGAAUACCAGUGUUGUAA